GCGAGAGUGGUGGAAUUGGUAGACACGCCAGAUUUAGGAUCUGGUGCCGUAAGGUGUGGGGGUUCGAGUCCCCCUUCUCGCACCA
rnacentral:tRNA from 2 species